rnacentral:rRNA from 1 species
GAUGAACGCUGGUGGCGUGCCUAACACAUGCAAGUCGAGCGAUUCUCUUCGGAGAAGAGCGGCGGACGGGUGAGUAACGCGUGGGUAACCUGCCCUGUACACACGGAUAACAUACCGAAAGGUAUGCUAAUACGAGAUAACAUGCUUUUAUCGCAUGGUAGAAGUAUCAAAGCUUUUGCGGUACAGGAUGGACACGCGUCUGAUUAGCUAGUUGGUGAGGUAACGGCUCACCAAGGCGACGAUCAGUAGCCGACCUGAGAGGGUGAUCGGCCACAUUGGAACUGAGACACGGUCCAAACUCCUACGGGAGGCAGCAGUGGGGAAUAUUGCACAAUGGGCGAAAGCCUGAUGCAGCAACGCCGCGUGAGCGAUGAAGGCCUUCGGGUCGUAAAGCUCUGUCCUCAAGGAAGAUAAUGACGGUACUUGAGGAGGAAGCCCCGGCUAACUACGUG